rnacentral:rRNA from 1 species
CAGCCGCCGCGGUAAUACGAAGGGUGCAAGCGUUAAUCGGAAUUACUGGGCGUAAAGCGUGCGUAAGCGGUGAGUUAAGUCUGCUGUGAAAUCCCCGGGCUCAACCUGGGAAUGGCAGUGGAUACUGGCUCGCUAGAGUGUGUCAGAGGAUGGUGGAAUUCCCGGUGUAGCGGUGAAAUGCGUAGAGAUCGGGAGGAACAUCAGUGGCGGAGGCGGCCAUCUGGGACAACACUGACGCUGAGGCACGAAAGCGUGGGGAGCAAACAGGAUUAGAUACCCGCGUAGUCCCUGACUCUUAUAC